GACCAAGCUGGGAAAGGAUUCCUGGGUUGGUGGACUACGACAUAGUUUGUCAGGUGGCAAGGGAAAUACUACCUCACAUGUAUCUUACCACCUCCAUGUACCGACAGGUAGUUUCGGGAUCGGUGGAUGACAUAAUUCCUCCAAACGAUAGUGACGAUGUUAGGAAAGGUACAAAUGAGGAACUAGGCGACCAAUCCGUGAUGAAUGAGGAUAAUUCAA
rnacentral:lncRNA from 1 species